UUUCAGAGUGCAAACUCAGAGGGGCUGUCUCUACACUGAAAAGCAAUGAGGCUUGAACCCUGGGUCUCUGCUUGACUCAGGCUCAAACCUUCCAC